GUACAUUCCUACGGGAGGCAGCAGUGGGGAAUAUUGGACAAUGGGCGCAAGCCUGAUCCAGCCAUGCCGCGUGAGUGAUGAAGGCCCUAGGGUUGUAAAGCUCUUUCACCGGAGAAGAUAAUGACGGUAUCCGGAGAAGAAGCCCCGGCUAACUUCGUGCCAGCAGCCGCGGUAAUACGAAGGGGGCUAGCGUUGUUCGGAAUUACUGGGCGUAAAGCGCACGUAGGCGGAUCGAUCAGUCAGGGGUGAAAUCCCAGGGCUCAACCCUGGAACUGCCUUUGAUACUGUCGAUCUGGAGUAUGGAAGAGGUGAGUGGAAUUCCGAGUGUAGAGGUGAAAUUCGUAGAUAUUCGGAGGAACACCAGUGGCGAAGGCGGCUCACUGGUCCAUUACUGACGCUGAGGUGCGAAAGCGUGGGGAGCAAACAGGAUUAGAAACCCGGGUAGUCCC
rnacentral:rRNA from 1 species